rnacentral:misc_RNA from 1 species
GAUGAAGAACGCAGCGAAAUGCGAUAAGUAGUGUGAAUUGCAGAAUUCAGUGAAUCAUCGAAUCUUUGAACGCACAUUGCGCCCCAUGGUAUUCCGUGGGGCAUGCCUGUUCGAGCGUCAUUUACCCCCUCAAGCUCCGCUUGGUGUUGGGCGUCUGUCCCGCUUCGCGCGCGGACUCGCCCCAAAGGUAUUGGCAGCGGUCGUGCCAGCUUCUCGCGCAGCACAUUGCGCUUCUCGAGGCACCGGUGGGCCCGUGUCCAUCAAGCUCACCCCCCCAGUUUGACCUCGGAUCAGGUAGGGAUACCCGCUGAACUUAAGCAUAUCAAUAAGCGGAGGA